rnacentral:rRNA from 1 species
UACGAAGGGGGCUAGCGUUGCUCGGAAUCACUGGGCGUAAAGGGUGCGUAGGCGGGUCUUUUAAGUCAGGGGUGAAAUCCUGGAGCUCAACUCCAGAACUGCCUUUGAUACUGAAGAUCUUGAGUACGGGAGAGGUGAGUGGAACUGCGAGUGUAGAGGUGAAAUUCGUAGAUAUUCGCAAGAACACCAGUGGCGAAGGCGGCUCACUGGCCCGUUACUGACGCUGAGGCACGAAAGCGUGGGGAGCAAACAGG